AGUCACGGGAUAUCUAAAGUUAAUCACAUAAUGGAUGUACUAAUUAUAGGGUUGACAGUGAGCUCUAAGUCAUCCUGGCAUUAAGAGUCAAAGGGAUUGAAUUAUACAGUAACCAUAGUUCAGGGUUCCAGAAUAUUUGCUUCGCAUAUAUUCAGCCUAUUCGGACGUCGGGUACCAUUGCUAGAUGGUCACAUCGAUUAGGGUAGGAAGUCGUUCCUAUACUACCGGCUUAGGUUCGAACCUAUGAGGUCACACGCAUAGAAGAUUUCUGAUUGAUCAAGAAGGCUGAUGAAUGAUUAAGAAUCAUUCAGGGGUAAUUUGGUCAAUUCGAUUGGCAAAUUAUCUUAUAAAAUAAUUAAAGUAAUUAUCGGAGGAUUAAUUAGUAAUUAGAUUGCUAAUGAACUCAAUUGGAUUGAGUAAUUAGACUAAGGAUAAGCCAAAUUGAAUUAGAUUCAUUUCUGGGCUCAAUCAGGGUUUUUGACCUGAUUGGAUUAGGUCUGAAUCAAGAGGACUUAGGUUGACCAAAUUAAAUUAGAUUAAAUUUGUGCUUAAUUAGGAAUUGACCUAAUUGGAUUAGGUUCAACCCAUGGUAAUUGGAUCAUUCUAAUUGUUAGGAUUUAAUUAAAUUAAAUGGGUUUGAUCUGAAACUGUUCGGAUCUUGAAAUCCACUUGUCACAUAUCCAUACAUGGCGCCAUAAAUUGAUUUUUAAUAUGAUUAAAAAUUAAUUUAAUUUAUUUAAUGGUGCCAUAGGACACUUGGCAACAUCAGGGACCUCUUUCAUCAUUAGAUGGGUCGAAAUGGAGAGAUAAAUUUAUGAAAAGAAUUGGAUAAGAUCAAAUUCUCUCUCUUCAUGACGUAUGUCAUCNNNNNNNNNNNNNNNNNNNNNNNNNNNNNNNNNNNNCGAAUUUAAUCACCACAAAAUCACUAUGUGACCCUCUAAUCUGUUUGGGGGCAUGGGAAUUUCGAAAUUGAAAGAGAAAAGUGGCAACAUGAUGAAUGGUUUAGAUUAGAUCAAGCUUCAUCAUGUAAUGGCACAUGAACUUGAAUUUUGAAUUCAAAAUUCAAAACUCCACAAAAUCCUCCACAAAUAUGGGAUGGUUGGCAUGAAGUUAGGUAGGAGAGCAACAUUAAAAGGACCUCCAUCAUCUGAUGGUCGAAUUCAAGGAAAAACGAGAGAAAAAGAAGAAGAAAAAAGGGAAAAGAAAAGAGAGGAACCCUAGUUCAUGCAUGGAAAAAUUCUGCAUUCAAUCUAGCUGACUUCUUCCUCCUCUAAGUCCAUCGCGCCAUUAGUGUUAGGGGUCCCUGAUAAGAGUCUUUAGAUCAGAUCUAAGUCCUCUUCAAUCCCUUUAAACCUUUCCUCCAAGUUCUUCCAAGAAAGCGGAUCAAAAAUUGAUAGCGUUUGGAAGAUCAAAUUUCAGCCUCAAGAAAUUCUGUGCAAGCUAGCACUUCCGCAGGAUUGGAUCUCUUCAGAAACUUCGCGUGGAUUUCUCGUAGAGGCCAUUCGUGUGCGUGGCUGCGAAGUCGAGGAUCAGAUCCACAAGUUUCAUCCAUCAUAAAAGGUAUUAAUCCUACAUUAAUCUUUUAUUAUGGUGUCAAGAUCUAGGUC
rnacentral:lncRNA from 1 species